ACUGCACUUGCAGGAUUGAGUCAUUUGCCCAAAGGCCUGGGGCCAGUGGAUGAGAGCACUCAGAUUCCAUGGCUGGACUGGACACAGAGCCUCCACUUCUCUCCAUGACAGGGUUAACUGCAUCAGCUUCUGCUGCCAGGUCCAUGCCAGGUCAGGGUUCUGGUGAACGUGGG